rnacentral:rRNA from 1 species
AAUCAACGCUGGCGGCGUGCCUCAGACAUGCAAGUCGAACGAUUAAACUUUCCUUCGGGAAAGAUAUAAAGUGGCGCACGGGUGAGUAACACGUAGGUAAUGUACCUUUGGGUGGGGAAUAACCAUCGGAAACGAUGGCUAAUACCGCAUAAUGCAGCGGCAUCGCAAGAUGACAGUUGUUAAAGCGAGCAAUCGCGCCUAAAGAGCAGCCUGCGGCAGAUUAGGAGUUGGUAAGGUAAUGGCUUACCAAGCCUGCGAUCUGUAACCGACCUGAGAGGGUGGUCGGUCACACUGACACUGAAUAACGGGUCAGACUCCUACGGGAGGCAGCAGUCGGGAAUUUUGGGCAAUGGGCGAAAGCCUGACCCAGCAACGCCGCGUGAAGGACGAAGUCUUUCGGGAUGUAAACUU